rnacentral:rRNA from 1 species
AGUGAACGCUGGCGGUAGGCCUAACACAUGCAAGUCGAGCGGCAGCACAGUAAGAGCUUGCUCCUACGGGUGGCGAGUGGCGGACGGGUGAGGAAUACAUCGGAAUCUACUUUUUCGUGGGGGAUAACGUAGGGAAACUUACGCUAAUACCGCAUACGACCUACGGGUGAAAGCAGGGGAUCUUCGGACCUUGCGCGAUUGAAUGAGCCGAUGUCGGAUUAGCUAGUUGGCGGGGUAAAGGCCCACCAAGGCGACGAUCCGUAGCUGGUCUGAGAGGAUGAUCAGCCACACUGGAACUGAGACACGGUCCAGACUCCUACGGGAGGCAGCAGUGGGGAAUAUUGGACAAUGGGCGCAAGCCUGAUCCAGCCAUGCCGCGUGGGUGAAGAAGGCCUUCGGGUUGUAAAGCCCUUUUGUUGGGAAAGAAAAGCAGCAGGUUAAUACCCCGCUGUUCUGACGGUACCCAAAGAAUAAGCACCGGCUAACUUCGUG